rnacentral:misc_RNA from 1 species
AGGAGAAAGAAAGAAGAAAGGAAGAAGUUUAAAGAGGUGAAAAAUUCUACAUAAAGGUUAGUAAUUAACCACUAGAUUUUUCUUUAGAAUUAUGUUUAUGUGCAUGAAUUAAUCUAGAAAUUGUGAAAAAAUUAAACAAAAUCAAGCAUGGUGGACCAAAUAGAAAUUUGGCCAGCAGUAGGUUAGGGUUUGAGAAUGAAUGAAUUUGAUGUAUUUGAAUGGGUGUUUAAGUUGAAUUAUAUAUGUAAACUAUGUAUUGGUGAUUGAAAAGCAUUAGAUUUGAAUUGCAUGAAAAUUAGGGUUUGGCACCUACGGUUUUGGGAGAUAAAAUGUGAGAAUUAGCCAAAUA